GGUACCCUACAAACAGAGGCUUUCUCAAAUUUCUUUUUGUCCCUCUCCUCUCCUUUUCCAAACUCUAUCUUGACAAUGGCAUUCAUGGUCUUAGCGACAACUUCUAUGAAAAUGUCUUCUGUGAAGAUGUCUUCUGCGAAGAUGUCUUCACGGAAUCUAAGAUUCAAACCCUGAUGUGUUUCCUGAUCACUCUGGACCUAGUCUGCUGGACUUCAGGAAAGGAGCAGAGUGCAGACUCCCUUCCACAAAGUGACCAGCAGGCCUGGGUUAAUGCUGAAAGCCUACACUGCUCUGGUGGAAUAGACGAGGACAGAGGCUGAGCAGCCUGCUGCAAGGGGUGGCAGCAGGAAAGUUGGAAGGACCCGUCAACCAGGACACACACUCGAAGGACUGCAGUAAAGAUGGGAAGAGGAAGAGAUGAAAGACCGUCAUAAGGAGUGACGAUUCAUUAGCCCAGGGUGAGUGAAGCAGGGGAUCAACACACCUUACUCAACAACACUCCACUCAUGACUCAUUGUACCCAUUGAACAUGAGACCUGGAAGCCCCAGAGAUGAACCUACUUCUCCCUCUCCAUUUGACAAGCAAGUGAAUCAAUGCCCAGAGAGGAUGAGGAAAAGGAGGUGCCAGGAAUGACUCAGCAGCUCACCACAAGAAUCUCCUGGAUGCCUGCCUGGACUUCUGUCAUAUGCUCUUGGUUGAAUUGCUUUUCAGUAUUAUUACUGAAGUCUUAUUGUUGAGAACACCUUCUUUGGGUUUCCUGCUUAUUUCUAACCUGAAUAAAAUGUGUGCGUGUUACUA